rnacentral:rRNA from 1 species
UACGUAGGGGGCGAGCGUUAUCCGGAUUUAUUGGGCGUAAAGCGUGUGUAGGCGGUUUAUUAAGUAUAAGAUUAAAGCCCGAAGCUCAACUUCGGUUCGUUUUAUAAACUGAUAGACUUGAGUACGGUAGAGGCAAAUGGAAUUUCUAGUGUAGCGGUAAAAUGCGUAGAUAUUAGAAGGAACACCAGUGGCGAAGGCGAUUUGCUGGGCCGUUACUGACGCUGAGACACGAAAGCGUGGGGAGCAAAUAGG